UUGGCUUGUCCAUUAUUAUCUAUUUACUGUGAACUGUAUUAUUACUUGACGCUUGAGGGAUGUUCCAUUGCUAUAAGGAUAGGCAUUGGAAAUGUUAACCGAGUCAUAAUCAAGCUUAGGCUUGGUAUCCUAUUAUUAUUUACCAAAAGAAUUCAGAAUUAAUAUUGUAACAUAGACGUAAAAAAUCUAUAAAACAACUUUUAACAACGGAUCUCUUGGUUCUCGCAUCGAUGAAGAACGUAGCAAAGUGCGAUAACUAGUGUGAAUUGCAUAUUCAGUGAAUCAUCGAGUCUUUGAACGCAACUUGCGCUCAUUGGUAUUCCAAUGAGCACGCCUGUUUCAGUAUCAAAACAAACCCUCUAUCCAACUUUUGUUGAAUAGGAUGACUGAGAGUCUCCUGAUCUAUUCUGAUCUCGAACCUCUUGAAAUGUACAAAGGCCUGAUCUUGUUUGAAUGCCUGAACUUUUUUUUAAUAUAAAGAGAAGCUCUUGCGAUAAAACUGUGCUGGGGCCUCCCAAAUAACACAUCUUUAAAUUUGAUCUGAAAUC
rnacentral:rRNA from 1 species